UGGGGAAUAUUGGGCAAUGGGCGAAAGCCUGACCCAGCGACGCCGCGUGGGUGAUGAAGGCCUUCGGGUUGUAAAGCCCUUUCGUGCGGAAAGAACAGCCCUGUAGCUAAUAUCUGCAGGGUUUGACGGUACCGCAGGAAGAAGCACCGGCUAACUCCGUGCCAGCAGCCGCGGUAAUACGGAGGGUGCAAGCGUUGUUCGGAAUUAUUGGGCGUAAAGGACGCGUAGGCGGUUGUGAUAGUCAGAUGUGAAAUCCUCUGGCUCAACUGGAGAACUGCAUCUGAAACUUCACAACUAGAGUACAGGAGAGGGAAACGGAAUUCCCGGUGUAGAGGUGAAAUUCGUAGAUAUCGGGAGGAACACCAGUGGCGAAGGCGGUUUCCUGGCCUGAUACUGACGCUGAGGCGUGAAAGCGUGGGGAGCAAACAGG
rnacentral:rRNA from 1 species